AGAACAUGCUAGCUAUACAAUAUUUGACUAAACUUGACCGUAAAAUAGAAAGAUUUUAACUUAGCCUAUGUUCAGGAAAGAUUUAUUAGGAAUUAUUUAGGAUGAAUAUUGGUGGAGAAUGGAGAUUAUGAAAUAUGUGAAUAAUAAUGAAUAGUAGUUGUAAUAUGUAAUUAUAAUUAAAGUUUGAUUUUAACUUGAUAGUAAAAAUAACUUAUAAGUUACUAAAAAUGAUGGCUUAAUAUUGUUCAAGAAUCCAGAGUCUACAUAACAAAACAAAGCAUUAGUGAACUCACAUGUUUACAGCAAGCUUAUUUAGGGAAUUAAUCUCAGUAUGUUAAGAUUAAUAAACAAGGACUUAUUAUUCUUUAAUUCUUAUCCAGCAUUCUCCAUAUAUUCUGUAUCAUUACUCAUGCUGAGAAGGUAAGCAGUAAGCACAUUAAAUUAACAAUAAAUAUGCACAAUACAAAUUAUACAAUUCACCACACCGCCAUUGCCAAAGUAAAGCAAGCCCAAAUAAGUUUAGGAAUUAGCCAAUUAGGAGCCUUUCUUAUUUCACCACCAGUCUAGCGAGCAGGGGCGAUAAUUCUGAAAACGGAAAUUCGGAAAACCAAUUUUUUCUACUUCUCCAAGCUAUUCAUUAUUUAUUUCACAUUCACUUUUUGUUUCUGGAAAUCAAAUUAAAAGACAAACAAUUGAUGAAUUGAACAAGAAACUAAAUAGUAAAU
rnacentral:lncRNA from 1 species